UGGGGGAUAUUGCACAAUGGGCGAAAGCCUGAUGCAGCGACGCCGCGUGGGGGAUGAAGGCUUUCGGGUUGUAAACCUCUUUCGCUAUCGAACAAGGCCCGCUUAGGGUGGGUUGAGGGUAGGUGGAGAAGAAGCGCCGGCUAACUACGUGCCAGCAGCCGCGGUAAUACGUAGGGCGCGAGCGUUGUCCGGAAUUAUUGGGCGUAAAGGGCUUGUAGGCGGCUUGUUGCGCCUGCUGUGAAAACGCGGGGCUUAACUUCGCGCGUGCAGUGGGUACGGGCAGGCUUGAGUGUGGUAGGGGUGACUGGAAUUCCGGGUGUAGAGGUGGAAUGCGCAGAUAUCUGGAGGAACACCGAUGGCGAAGGCAGGUCACUGGGCCAUUACUGACGCUGAGGAGCGAAAGCAUGGGUAGCGACCAGG
rnacentral:rRNA from 1 species